CUGACCGUCAUCCACAGAUCCAGAAGUAUCUCAGGGAGCGUGACAUAACACAGUUCUAUGAUGUGUGGCACUUUGAGAAAGGUUUGUCUAAGAAAUUAGAUAAACGGGCAAAAAAAAGGACUGUGAAUUGCUGAGGCCGUGGCUGCGUAGCAUCAGAAGUCAUGUUUACUGGUGUGCCACUUCCUCGACAUCAGGACCAGAGAAGGUGGCUAAGUGGACUUCACUGGUCAACCACCUCCAGAAUGUGCACACACAUGACAAUCCUAUCUUUCCCAAGUGCGAACAUCCACUCAUAUCUUCAAAUAAUCAAAAGAAAUGGUUUCAACAAGGAUCGCUGGCUGUCCACAAAGUCGAACAAAUACUUUACAACAAAAGGGUGCUCAAAGAUGUGGAGAAGCUCAGUCACAGUUUCCAGACAUCUUCCCUGGAGGCUUUCCACAGCUUAAUUCUACGUUUUGCACCGAAAAAUGUAGUGUACCCUUUCAUCGGAAUGUUGUGCAGACUGUAUCUUGCUGUGCUUCAUCAUAAUGAAAAUGCCAACAGAGAACAAGCCACAACCAAGGCAGGACAGGCGGUGUACCGAUUGGUGUUGCCGAAAUAAAAAAAAGGGCA